rnacentral:rRNA from 1 species
UGGGGAAUCUUGCACAAUGGGGGAAACCCUGAUGCAGCGACGCCGCGUGAGUGAUGAAGCCCUUCGGGGUGUAAAGCUCUUUCGACGGGGACGAUUAUGACGGUACCCGGAGAAGAAGCUGCGGCUAACUACGUGCCAGCAGCCGCGGUAAUACGUAGGCAGCGAGCGUUGUUCGGAAUUACUGGGCGUAAAGAGUGCGUAGGCGGUUCGGCAAGUCUGGUGUGAAAUCUCCCGGCUUAACUGGGAGGGUGCGCCGGAAACUGCCGGGCUAGAGUGUGGGAGAGGAAAGUGGAAUUCCUGGUGUAGCGGUGAAAUGCGUAGAUAUCAGGAGGAACACCUGCGGUGUAGACGGCUUUCUGGACCACUACUGACGCUGAGGCACGAAAGCGUGGGGAGCAAACAGG